CUGGUCCUGAUUUGUUGGUGAUAAAUCUGCUUCCUCUCGUCCUCCUCCCUGGAAGAGCCUGGAAGAGAGGGUGACGACUUUCCCCAUUCCCUGUUUUUUGCCUUUUUCCAUUGCCUGCCAGCUCAGGUUCUCCAGCUGUCUCUGGAAACAAGGAUCCGGGAGCACAAAGCAUGGAGGUGCCAGCCAAGGGCAGCAGGGACCUUGCAAAUCACCCAGGGAAGAACCCCACACUCGUCAAAAUGUGAAGUUUGACAAUAUCCACGGAUAUACAUUAUCCCCACCAACUCUGGGCUGUUUGCAUUGAAAAUGAAGUUCUCUCAUUUUUGGUUGUUCAACCAUAUCUGUUGAAACCCCUGCCUCCCACCCCCAGUAUCUUCCUUCCUGUACUUAAAUUAAACACACGUAAGCAGACAAAAAGACAUCAGAUAGUUCCCUGAAAAGAAUGAACACCCGGGUAGUGAUGUAGAACUCACAGUCAG